rnacentral:rRNA from 1 species
UACGUAGGGGGCAAGCGUUGUCCGGAUUUACUGGGCGUAAAGCGCGUGUAGGCGGAGGGGCAAGUCCGGUGUGAAAGCCCCCCGGCUCAACCGGGGAAGGUCGCUGGAAACUGCGCCUCUUGAGGACGACAGAGGGGAAGUGGAAUUGCUGGUGUAGCGGUGAAAUGCGUAGAGAUCAGCAGGAACACCCCGUGGCGAAGGCGGCUUCCUGGGGCCUUACCUGACGCUGAGACGCGAAAGCGUGGGGAGCGAACCGG